rnacentral:rRNA from 1 species
CCCCUUAUCGGGGUUGCGGACAGUGCCUGGUGGGUAGUUUGACUGGGGCGGUCUCCUCCCAAAGAGUAACGGAGGAGCACGAAGGUGGGCUAAUCACGGUUGGACAUCGUGAGGUUAGUGCAAUGGCAUAAGCCCGCUUGACUGCGAGAAUGACAAUUCGAGCAGGUGCGAAAGCAGGUCAUAGUGAUCCGGUGGUUCUGAAUGGAAGGGCCAUCGCUCAACGGAUAAAAGGUACUCCGGGGAUAACAGGCUGAUACCGCCCAAGAGUUCAUAUCGACGGCGGUGUUUGGC